AAGAAAAAUCUGCUUUGUCAUUGAACCUGAGAAAAACUUUGAAAAUAAACAUAAUGACACAGUCUCCAUGCUACAAUAAUAAUGACAGAAAUAAAGUUUUUCACUGUGGGGACAAAUCUUCAUAAGUACAAUUUGACUGUAUUAUUUGUGUCCCCUUCAAAAAUUGCUUAUGAGAAAUUUUAUAUCUAUUGUCCCCCCCCCUACUGUUAAAUAAAAUUUAUGCCCAUGAUUAUAAUAAUUAUAGCAACUGUAUUUUGUGUAUGGUUGAAGAUCUGUCUGGUCUUUAUUCAUUUAAUUAUCACUGUAAAUAGCUGGUUAGCUAUCUAUCAUUUACUCCUCAGAAAGCAAAUUCAGACAGCGGUUGCCUGGAUCAACACCCAGUACUGGGAUGCCUGGAACCUGUGUGACGAGGUGAUCGACUGGGGAGACGGUGUGGAGGAGUGCUCACGAGCGACACCCCCACUGUCCAGGUUGGGGGGGAUAAGGAGGGAUUGGGAAGGGCUACUUGGGAAAAUGUGGAGGUAUCAGAAAGGGGCCUCCAAUGGUGAGAUGGAGGGGGCGGAGGCUGGUAUGAAUGUAAUGCAUAUGGUAAAUGGAGGUGAGGAGAAUGGAUGUGAGGUAAGAGUGAAUGUGGAGGAGGUUAAGGGAGAAGGAGAGAAAAGUAGAGGGAAUGCUUUGGGAUCUAUUGUGUCACAAGGAGGCAGAUCAUGGCUGGAAACCAUUCAGGAAGAAGGAUGUGAGGAAGAAGAAGAAACUGAGGUGGCGUUUCAGGAGGCACAAGACGCUGAAGUUGCCCAGUUGAACAGAUGGUGUCCAUGUGGCUGGUGUAAGGUGGGGUAGGAGGCUUCUGAACCAUGUGUUAGGCCUAGUGCACUUAUGGAUUGUGCUUGUUUGUUAUAAUGAAAUAAGCUUAUAAACUAAACAUAAUAUAUUUUAAAGGUACGUGUUUAUAUCAGUAUCUACAUGUAAAGGGAGCAGACACAGGAAAAAGGUAUUGAAGACCCUUGAUAUGAUAUUGCUGUUUUUGUUUUAGAUUCCAAAGUUAACCCUUUAUUUAAUUUAUCCCUUUUCCCCAAGUAGAAUAAUGCAUGUACUUGUAAUCUGUAUUAUUUUGCUUUGGAGUCGGAAGUUCCAAAAUCACCAGGCAAGUUAUUUGAUUGUAUGUGUUUUAACUACUAGAAAGAUGUAAAUGAUAAGCCUUAAGAUUUAUUUAAAAUUAAUUUAUUGUUUUUUUGUAAAUUAAAAACAGGAACCCUCAUGGACCAAGACUUGAGGGCAUUUGUACAAUCCACCUGUACAACUUUAACUGGUUCUGCAGUCUUUUUCUCCCCACAGCCUCUGCUUGUUCCCUUCUUCUCUUUCUGUCUUCCCUCCAGGAGAGCUCCUCAGGCAUCUCCUGCCUGUAAUUCCUGGGAAAUGCCACCUGCCACCCAUCCUUGGAAGCGUCGCCCAUUCUCAGGAUCUCAUGCGUCACCAUUCAUCACAGUCACAGCGCUUGCAGACAUCUGGUAUGGAUUAAGGCAUCACCAGCCUGGCAUCAGACUCUCCAGACAAUGCCAGCCCAGAGGGGGCUGACCUGGAGGACAUUCCCCCGGAGGACAUGGAGUGGGAGCCUCCAGGUCUUGCCCUGAGUCCGACUCCGUGGUGUCAGCCCCGUGGCCAAAGUUUCCCCAGCCGAGGAGGCUAUCGCCGCGACAACGGCAGGGUCAACGGAAAUCCAGUCGUGAGCUGAGGUCCAGGAGGAAAAAACGAGGUUAUGCUACCCAGACCUGCCUCCUGAUCCAGGCUUGGUCCAAGAUGGUCUUUCAGGGGUCCCUGGUUUGGUCCAGUUCCUGUCCUGCCUGCCCCUCGACACCCUCUCUCUGCCAACCCCUCGCCGUCUACCGAUGCUGUUCUUCCCUCGGCUGCCGCAGACGAGUGGAGCUUCUACAGACCCAGACAGGACUCCAAAGGCCCCCCUGGCCGUGACCCUUCUGCGGCACCCCGGAGCCCAUCAGAGGCCCUGAACUGUUCACUUUACCUCCCAUGCUACCUAGUGUCUUGCCCCUCCUAAUACCUCAGUCUUUGGUCUGUAGUCUUGCUUCCCCGUGGCUCUCCCUGGUUUCACCUCUUAGCCCGAUUUCACUGUUCCAGCCCCCACUCCAGUCACUCUUGCUUCCCGCUUUAGGUUCCCCUCUCUUGGCCAUAUUAUUGUUGCACUGGUUCCGUUGCUUGCCUGUCUUGUCUGGUUGUGUCCUGCCUUGUCUGUCCCUGUGCCAUCUUUGGUCCUUUUGAUGCCCAAUCCCUCCCUUUUGUCUCCUUCUACUGUGUCCUUUGUUCCCACUUACCCACUGACACCCACUGUCUGUCUUUUGGUCCAUAGUCAGCAUCCCUGUUGGAUUACCUGGCCUGUCAUGAGUUGUGUCCUGGGGGUUAGUCUCCCCUGUUGUCCUUGGUUUUGCCCUGGUCUGUGUGUCCCCUCAAUGAUGCCCUUGUACCCGGAGGGCACAGGAUUGGGAGGGGGGCGUUUACUGUCAUGUCUUGCCCAUUUAGUCAACCUUACCCUCCAGUUCUCCUCCCUGAUGAGCCACGCUUGGUGUCUAUUAGUCUCAUCCCAUGUUCCUCCCCUUCUGUCAGUCACUAUCAGCUUCCUUGUGUUUUCCCAUUCCUUAGUCUGGUAAAGUGCCCAGUCCUAUCUUCUCCAGUUGUGUCCUUGUCUGUUUGCGUCUCUGUGCCCAAACCUGCCUGUCAAUAAAACUCCCCACGAAGGGGAUUCUGCCCUA